AACGCGAAGAACCUUACCAGGGCUUGACAUGUUAGGAACCCCGCCGAAAAGUGGGGGUGCCCUUCGGGGAGCCUAAACACAGGUGGUGCAUGGUUGUCGUCAGCUCGUGUCGUGAGAUGUUGGGUUAAGUCCCGCAACGAGCGCAACCCCUAUUGUAUGUUGCCAGCAGGUCAAGCUGGGCACUCAUGCGAGACUGCCGGUGACAAACCGGAGGAAGGUGGGGAUGACGUCAAAUCAUCAUGCCCCUUAUGUCCUGGGCGACACACGUGCUACAAUGGCCGUCACAAAAGCGAACCGAGCCCGCGAGGGGGAGGAAACCGCAAAAAGGCGGUCGUAGUUCAGAUUGCAGGCUGAAACUCGCCUGCAUGAAGCCGGAGUUGCUAGUAAUCGCGGAUCAGAACGCCGCGGUGAAUACGUUCCCGGGCCUUGUACACACCGCGAGC
rnacentral:rRNA from 1 species